rnacentral:tRNA from 1 species
GGGGUUGUGGCUCAGUGGCAGAGUGCCUGCCUAGCAUGCAAGAGGCAUUGGGUUCGAUCCUCAGCACCACA